ACACACACACACUGAAGGCAGCAGAGGUGACGGGCCCUCGGAGGACAUGACUGGGGACAUUCACGUGCCUGGUCUCUUCAAUGCUGCCCUACCCAGUGACCUAACUGGGACCAUUGUCUGCCAUGGAGACGGUUCUGGAUCCGCUUCCCCCAUCCCUGCGUGCCGAGGGACCUCUGCUAGGCCCCCUCGGGUAUCUCGGGCCCUCAGCUGUGUCCAUGAUGUGAUCCAGAAAAAUAUCGAGUAGAGCUGCUCAGAGAACAGGGAAAGGAUGGCCCAGUGGUGAGGCUAUUGGCCUAGGAUUUGGGGAACCAGCAUUGAAUUCCUUGCUCCGCCAAAGACUUCAAGGCAUGACCUUAGAUGAAUCUCAUCAGACAUGGCUAAUGACUCACAGUGCUAAAGAAUAAUACACCAAACCAUUAAAGCAUUUGGUCAGCGAAUGUCUUUGAAGAGAAAUUGAGACACAUGAUUGCAAGAAUAAAAAGGGGCGGAUCACAAUAUGUGCCAGAAAAGAAAAUGAGCAAAAGCAGAAAAGUGUAGGAAGAAUCCUCUGCACUCACGGCAGGAGUAGACUAUUCCCAACAGAUGAAAAAGCCAUCUCCAAUCAGAAAUCUCCUCCCCUGUGAGUACUUGUGGACCAUGCUGAAGUCACCUCUUAACCUUCUCUUGGAUCAACGAAGCAGAGUCUUUCUGGCCAGCCAGGCAUCCACACUCCAGGCUAAGAAAGCUGGAGUCCAUUGCGCAAACUGAAGAGAGGUACAGUAACAUCACGGAAAGGACUUGGCCGUAGAGACCAUUCCUCUGUAAAG